UAGUAGCAAACGGGUGAGUAACGCGUGGGAAUCUACCCAUCAGUACGGAAUAACAUAUAGAAAUAGAUGCUAAUACCGUAUAUUCUCUAAGGAGGAAAGAUUUAUCGCUGAUGGAUGAGCCCGCGUCAGAUUAGGUAGUUGGUAGGGUAACGGCCUACCAAGCCUACGAUCUGUAGCUGGUCUGAGAGGAUGAUCAGCCACACUGGGACUGAGACACGGCCCAGACUCC
rnacentral:rRNA from 1 species